AGAUCCGCGACCCGCACCGCGCCGUGCGCAAGUGGCUCGGCACGUUCGACACCGCCGAGGACGCCGCGCGCGCGGCCACUGCGUCAAGCUCAACUUCCUCGGCCGCGCAGCGACCGCGCUCGCUCCCAGUCCCGGACAGCCCCCGGGAGAACUGCGGCUCGAAAGAUAGACAGAAUGCAUCGUAAAACAAGUCUAUAGAACACGUAACAGUAAGUUCUUCGCCAAACAAGAAGCAAUAACAGCCUGAGGAUUUGAACAGACACCAGAAAAUUCGGCAGAAGCAUGCUAAACCAUCAUCCCAUCUGGAUCGAUCUCUCAAGAACUCGAAAGUUGAAACAUCCAUCGAUCGCGUAUAUUCUUAACCAAAUUAUUCAGCUCCUACGCCACAGAGUCAGUCACUGCGACGGCCAUCGGUUUACGCACGGCGAACGCCGGAGACGGCGAGAGAGAGGCCACCGAGCAGGAGGACGAAGAGACCAAACGCCAGCGGCGGGCCGACGCCGGCAGCGACCACGCUGACGGCUGAUGAGGCGGCGAGAACGCCCACCACGACAGGAUCAGGGCAGCCGCUGCCACGUCCGCCAGGAGCGUCUCCUGCCUUCUCCGCCAUGGUAGCCUUCUUCUCCGCCUUGCCGUGCUCGAGCAUGUCGCCGGCGCGGAGAUUCGCGAGCUUCACGUCGGUGGCGGCGGCCGCCAUCUGAUUCGACGAAUAAACGCAAGGAGAUGUUAGCGAUUGAGCUCAGAGAAAAUGCGAGGCAGAUGGGGGAACGCAUACGCGCGGGCUUUCUUUUAU
rnacentral:lncRNA from 1 species